CUCUAUUGGAGGGAUACGACACCCUUCUUCCACGAGAAAUUCCAUAAUAUGGUGUUUUGAUGGUGGUGGUGGAAAACGCUGUCUCAGGCGCCGCUCCAGAAUCUCCCAAAAGUGUUCAAUUGGGUUGAGAUCUGGUGACACACACACAUACACAUCCUUUAUGCUUCUUUGAGACCCCUCUUUCAAAAUCACUGAGAUCUCUUCUAGCCAUGGUAGCCAAAAUAAUGGGCAAUUGGGCAUUUUUAUACAUGACCCUAAGCAUGAUGGGAUGUUGUAAUUACUUAAUUAUCUCAGGAACCACACCUGUAUGUAAGUAUCUGCUUUCAAUAUACUUUGUAUCCCUCAUUUACAGUGUUUCCUUUAUUACCUGUAUGUGCCCCACAAAAUAGGGGUAAAUAAAUAUUGACAAUUAUCUCCCUUUAACAACUCCCUACACGCCAAGCUACGUAGCUGUGGGUGAGACACAACAUCAGGUUAAAGGAAGGAUAUGUCAUAAGAUUCGAUCAUGCAGGAGGGGCGCAGUCAGGCGCAGGAGACUAAGGUACGUGGGAAAACACGUUUUAAUGAAUACAGUCCAAAGUGCCGAAAAAACAAGGCAGGGUACAGAACUCAAACGAUAGGUAACAGCCCUAAAUCGAGUCGGGACGCAGCCCAGCAAACCCUAAUACCUAAUACGAAACGGCAGAGGAAAAUCAAAUCCCCAACAUCCAAUAAAAUGACACGAAACAAUCCCGCACAAUCCCAAACCAAAACAGACAGACUAAAUACCCUCACAAAUGAACUAACUCAAAACAGGUGCUAACAAAAACAGACAUCACCAAAUGAAAAAGAAAAGGAGAUCGGUGGCAGCUAGUAGGCCGGCGACGACGACCGCCGAGCGCCGCCAGAACGGGGAGAGGCACCACCUUCUGUGGACGUUGUGACAGUACCCCCCCUCCCCUGAUGCGCAGCUCCCGCAGCGCGCCGACGCCGGCCUCGAGGACGACCCGGAGGGCGAGGCGCAGGGCAAUCCAGAUGGAGGCUGUGGAAUUCCCGCAACAGUGAUGGAUCCAAGAUGUCCUCCACUGGUACCCAGCACCUCUCCUCCGGACCGUACCCCUCCCAGUCCACGAGGUACUGCAGGCCCCCUACCCGACGCCUGGAGUCCAAGAUGGACCGGACUGUGUACGCCGGGGACCCCCCGAUGUCCAGGGGGGGGCGGAGGGAUCUCCCGCACCUCAGCGUCCUGCAGUGGACCAGCUACCACCGGCCUGAGGAGAGACACAUGAAACGAGGGGUUAAUACGGUAAUACGAAGGGCGCUGCAACAUAUAACACACCUUGUUUAUUCUCCUCAGGACUUUAAACGGCCCCACAAAUCACAGACCCAAGUUCCGGCAGGGCAGGCGGAGGGGCAGGUUCCGGGUUGAGAACCCUGUCCCCUGGGGUAAACACGGGGGCCUUACUGCGGCGGCGGUCAGCGAUCUCCUUGUGCCGUCCCACAGCCCGUUUAAGGGAUUCCUGGACGGCGCUCCAGGUCUCCUUAGAGCACUGUACCCAAUCCUCCACCGCAGGAGCCUCAGUCUGGCUCUGAUGCCAGGGCACCAGGACCGGCUGGUAACCCAACACCAUCUGAAAGGGCAACAGGUUAGUAGAGGAGUGGCGGAGAGAGUUCUGCGCCGUCUCGCCCCAUGGCAUGAACCUCGCCCAUUCUCCCAGCCGGUCCUGGCAAUAGGACCGCAGAAACCUGCCCACAUCCUGGUUAAUUCUCUCCACCUGCCCAUUACUCUCAAGGUGAAAACCUGAGGUCAAACUGACCGAGACCCCAGUCGCUCCAUAAACGCCCUCCACACCCGGGACGUAAACUGGGACCUCAAUCCGAGACGAUGUCCUCAGGCACCCCGUAGUGCCGGAAGACAUGAGAAAACAGGGCCUCCGCAGUCUGUAGGGCUGUAGAAAGACCGGGCAAAGGGAGUAGACGGCAGGACUUAGAGAACCGAUCCACAACGACCAGGAUCGUGGUGUUCCCCUGAGACGGCGGGAGAUCCGUGAGGAAAUCCACCGACAGGUGGGACCAUGGCCGCUGUGGAACGGGGAGGGGCUGUAGUUUCCCUCUAGGCAGGUGUCUAGGGGCCUUACACUGGGCGCACACGAACAGGAGGAGACAUAGAGCCUCACGUCCUUCACCAAAGUGGGCCACCAGUACUUCCCUCUAAGAGCCCGCACUGUCCGCUCAAUCCCUGGAUGACCUGAGGAGGGUAGCGUGUGCGACCACCGGAUCAGUCGAUCACGGACACCGAGCGGGACGUACUUCCGACCCGCGGGACACUGAGGUGGAGUAGGUUCGGACUGCAACGCCCGCUCGAUGUCCGCAUCUACCUCCCAGACCACCGGUGCCACCAGACAGGAGGCUGGAAGUA
rnacentral:lncRNA from 1 species